AAAGUUGUAUUUACGCACCGGGUAAUAGGUGCAUAGGCGACUGUGCGGAAAUACGUGCACUGGUUAGGCAGUGCACAGGCUGAAUAAGCCAGAUAGUUCACAGGAUAGCGGUGCACAGGAUAGUAGCGCAUAGGUAGAAAUAAGCAAGGUUUGGAAUAGUGCACAGGUUAGCACUGGUUGUUGCUUAACACAAGGUCUGUUCAAAGACAGCAACACGUCCCACAAAUUGUUAUUGUGUGUCAGAGGCCAAAGUUAACAAAUUAAAGAUAAAAAUAUAAGAAACGGUGCAGCUUCCAAUAUCCAGGGGUAAACUUUGGUACGAUACCCAGAAGUCACUACCCCGAGUACGUGACACAACAUUUUCUUCUUUCAAAUUCUGGACGAGUAGACGUAGCUUUCAAUUGAAUUCUCUGAUUUAUUUUAAAAUCAGUGUAGCUAAUAUACCCCGCAGCGAACCCGAAAUUUAACCCGAAUGAAUUAUCCUGAUAACGGUUGUUAACAUUUGGUAGCUUUUAGUAAUUUCAUCUCAACAAAAAAAAACACGCCUGAGCAAUUACAAUAUUAACGAAAAUAUGAAAUGCACUAUAUUUUCACAUGUCAUUUUAACUGAUAGUUUUUAAAAGUAAUAUCUGGUUGAUUAAAAAUCUUGAGAGGUAAAGAUAAGCCAAUGUCAGGACCAUAAGAGAUGUAGAAGAUACCAACGUAUAAGUUGAACAAAAAAUGACAACGCCAUUCCUAAAAAAAAAAACCAUUAUAAGAUAAAAAAAAAAGUAAAGGCAACGGUACUAUACCGCUGUUCGAAAUUCAUCAAUCGAUUAAGAAAAAAAAACAAAUCCGGGUUACAAACUAAAACUGAGGGAAACACAUUAAAUAUAAGAGGAGAACUACGACACAACAGAAACACGACAUUAAAAUGUAACACACACAGAAAACACUUUCAUCGUUGUUAAUUUAGUACUCUCACCAUGCUCUAGCCUCUCUGAUUUUGUCAGACGGCUUUAAUCAUCAUUUCAUUAUAGCAACAACUUUACAUUGUGUUUACUUUG
rnacentral:lncRNA from 1 species